UAAAAGCAAAUUAUUCAGGCAACUUGAUUUGCCUACACAGUCUGAACUUAAGAGAGGCUGAGGACAAGACAGACUGGCUGAAAGCUUGCAUAUGUUUCAUCAGGACGAGACUCCUGUUGAGGAUCCUUCAGCAGCAGCAGUCGUCCUUUGUGCUACAGCGCAGUGAAAAUGCACUACAUUCAACAGAUGAGGCGUUACAGCGACUCAGUCCCAAAGAAGCAACUCUGCAGGCUCUCGCUGAGGUGAUGUCAGAAGACCUGGAGAGGGUUUAAGUCUUGAACCUUUUUCUCAGCGAUGGCGAUGGAGUUUAGACUCACGUCUAAUAUUCAGACUUAAGAUUUGAAACUGGAGACUUGGUUUGUCUCAUAGCAGGAAGCAGUGGAGAAGGCCCGCUGCCUCCUGUGUAGACGUGGACAGGUUUCCAUCAUUAAGAAAUUUAAGAGUGUGAGACUAUAGCUUCAGUUCAAACACAAUACUGGUGAUGAGUAACAGAAUAGACUAGAAUG